ACCGAAAUAGCUCAGUUGGGAGAGCGUUAGACUAGACCGAAAGGUCCCUGGUUGGAUCCUGGGAUUCGGAG
rnacentral:tRNA from 1 species